rfam:Vitis vinifera, whole genome shotgun sequence of line PN40024, unoriented chromosome 16, chr16
CAGCAUCUGAUGAAUUACUCGGAUUCCCCUUCAAGACAUUAUGAAUGAUGCAAUUUCGAGUUUCUGAUGCA